AACUAGUUUGUAUGCAACGCAAUCGUGCACAAAAAUUUACGAAAGAAAAUUUAUAAAACGAACCAGAAUCGUAAUUCCUGACGCGAAAAAUUGGAAAAUUAGGAAUUAAAAGGACUUGUCAGAAAAGCAACGAAGUUUAAUGGAUAAAAACGCUAUAACCAAUUACAUGUUAAAAUUUUCUUUGCAGUACACAGACAUUAAAAUAUAUAUCUAGAACACGAUUUUUGGAUUAGCACAAGUGCAUUACUAAAUUAAGGUAAGCAUAUAAGAAUAUUAAAGAUUGAAAAAAAAGGAUUAAACUAAAAAAACACAAAAAAAAAUCUAUGAUAUGUUAAAUCUGGAAUUAUAACCUCAGUUGGGUUUAUGAAGAUAGUGGGUUUUUAACUGUAGGGAAACAUGGGGGAUACGUUGUCAUAUGUUCCCCUCGUUCCUUUUACCUUAACCCCGUUCUUUAAAAAAAAUGACAAAAAAUGACAGUCAUGUUUGAAAAAAAUGCGAAAGAACUGCCGUUUUUAUAGUGCCAUCUUUUAAUAAGUUUGAUACAAUUGUAGUUUACGGAUUUUUACGGUAAACAUAUGGCAUGUUAAGUUUUAAAUGACUUUUAACUAAUUUUAGCUGAGUUAUGACAGGAACAGGCGACAAUUAUAGACAAAAUCGUUUAUAGCCUCCCUUUUCCACCCCGAUCUUGUUCUGUCGCUUAAGCUACAGAUUAAAACGUAAUAUUGGACAUUUAGUUGUUUAGUUGCACUUUCCUCGUUUUGUUAUUUCAUAUGCACGGCUGUUAUUCGGUAUAUCUAGAAAAUUAUUGUAAAAGAAUACCAAACGUUGGUCAAGCAUUUUCAUCGGACCGUGAAUGUAAUUUUACUUCAAAAUUUGUGAAAAAUCUGUUGUAUUUUCAAAACGUAAUACUGACAAAUUGUGUUUGUUAUAAUGGUUUAACUUUCUCAAUAAUAUUGCGCAAUAAGAUAAAGAAAAGACGCAGUGCUUUAUGAAAAAUAAGAAAACACAAAAGGCGCAAACAAGUUAUUGGACUCACUGGAAAAAAAACACCGUUUUGUAUCUAUAAUGGUCACAUUCCAAUAUAUAAUUAUAUUUAAAACUGAAUGUUUUUGGUGUUUCGGGCAGUGCACUAAAAUAAGUAGUGUUGUUAACAUUAAUCGGUUAUCGGUUAACCGUCGAAAGGAUCGAAUAUCGAAUACCGAAAAUUCAAACCGAUUAACCAGACCUUUUUUUCUAUGUUAAUAGAUUUGAGAUAUGUGUAGUUUUAAAAUUGUAUAAAUUUUGUAUAUAAUUAAUCCUUUAAUAUUAGUCUCUCAUAAUUCUUAAUAGAAUGGCACUUGUAUAUGUUUUAGUAUUUAAGCUAAUGAUAUUUUACUGUUAGUUUUAAUAUACAAUAUGUUUUAUAAAUGUUAUCCAAUAUUUCAUGUUAUACGCAAUGUUUUAUAUGUUUAUUGGAAUGUAUAAUGUUAUACAAGUGGUGAGACUUUAAUAAAAUAUUGAAUCUGAAUCUGCGUAUCAAAAUGAUUAAUUAAUUAUCAAAAUAAUAGUCCUGCUAAUUAAUUUGACAGAUCUUUUGUCCAAAAUAUUGAUAACUAUAUUGUUUACACUCCAAUUUUACAAAAUUAAUUAACACACAGACAACUUUUAAAUCAGCUCGGGGCACGAUCUAAUUGAAAAGUAAACAUAAUUAGCGUACAUGUAUUGUGAGCAGCUGGUAGCUGUUUAAAUUUUAUGAUUAACUUCAUUAUUUUACUUUGAUUUAAUAUCGCGUAGAUAAUGAAAAUAUGUCACUUCUAUCUUCUAAUGCUUUGUUAUACUUUAAACGAAAUGAGGACUCAAAAAUGGUUAAACGCAAAUUAUGUGAAUGCCGGAAUCAAUGUAUAAUACUGUGUGGUACUAGUAACAAGCUUAAUGAACUCAAAUUGAAACACUCAACAGCAUAAUUUUUCUGUGACACCAGAGAAAAAAGAAAUAAUUACCGGUUAUAUACAUUGUUAAUCCGAUGAUAUUAUUAAGACGAUUUUUAUCUUUACAUUCUGAAGUUAUUACAGAUGCCAUUGUAGAUAUGGUAGUAUUGGAUUAUCAAAAAUAAACUUUUAUCAGACUGCUCAAAGCCAAGCCUUAUAAUGUCAAACCAUAAACUUCAAUUCAUCUCUUAUAAAACCGAAGACCUUUAAAACAUCAAUUCAACGAUCGCUUAACCGGUUAAUCGGUCGAAAGAUUGUCCGAGUAACCGGUUAAUCAAAACUGUUCAAUUUGACAACACUAAAAAUAAGGUUUUUUUUUUAGAUAUAUAUAUAUAUAUCUAAACCGUUCAUUUUGUGCUUGAAAACAUUGAAUUUUGUUGAUUUUUCAUUAGAAUUGAUCGUGAGAGAUCGGGCAACGCAUUAUUAUGACUAGGCGUGACCAGACGAACGCCGGACGUGUGCGCCUUUUAUACUUUAAAACCUUGAUGUUUUUGGGUGGAGGAAUAAUUUCUUUAGAAAGUUAUUGCAAACAAUAGUCUGUUCAAUUAACAAUAAACGUGUAAGGGGAAUUUGGGAGUGUGGUUAAUCAUUGAGUUUAAAAAUAUUAAACUAAUUUGAUAUUGAUCUAAUCGUGAGGAAAUGGUUUGUCUCAAGAAAAAAACCAAAUAACGCACAAAAAGAUUAAUGAUUAGGUCGGUGCCUAGAAAGGAAGAUCGGAUUUCUUAAAAGUUUUUCGGUGAUUUUUUUUCGAAUUUGUUACUCGCUUGUCUAUUUGUUGCAAGGAACACAAAUAUAUAAUUGACAAUCUUCGACUUUUUAAAUUAUUUUUUCUCUUACGUAUGUAAGACGAAAUAACAUGUAUGUAUACUUUUAUAAAUAUAUUGACUCAUUUCAAAAUACCUCUGGAAAUAUAAAUAUUUCUGCAUACUAUUAUCUAAAUGAUGAAAUUGAGAUUUAAAUUUGCAUAUUCAGACCCCGCCUCCCAAACACGUUUUUGACCAUAUUUGUUUUCACCGCAACAGUUUAGUAGAAUCGGAAAUCCGUUUAUAAAAUCUGCAUCCUAUUCGUUAAUUGUUUUAGAUUUUAUGAUGUGCUGCCUACACAAAGAGAUGUGUACUUUUAUGUUCUAGCCAUAUUUUGGCAUCUUCUCAAAAAUGUUCCCACACAAAUAAAUCACCAAAGAUUGCUCGGAAUGAAAACUGCCAUUUUGAAUUUUAUUUGAUCAUAAACAGAUAUAUACUUCUCAAACGAAGGACAUCCUUUACCAAAACCAGAAAUCAAAAACUCAAAUCGUGGGAGAAGUUAAGCUAUAUAGUAUCCUUCGAAAAUAAAUUAAUCCAUUUUUGUUAAAGACGGAUUUUAAAACCAGUAAUAUAUCUUAGUAGUUUCAAAUUUAAAUUUGAAAGUAAAACAAAUACAGGCCGGCAAAUUGGUCCUACUACUUUGAAUUUUUAGCUUUCAACUGCCUAUAUUUAGCAUUGAUUGGUAACCCGGAAAAAGUUAAAUUUGAUUAAGUGAAUUUAUCAUAUCAAAACGUUCUGAUACUAGGACACCCUACCUUUAUGAUAGAAAGAAAUGUGAUGCGUUAUAUAAUAAUUUAGCCUUGUCAUAAGUUUUAACAUAUCAAUUAUAAAAUGAAUGGUUAUCCUGGGUUUUAAUGUGGUUUAUUAAAAUUCAUUAUAUUAAGUAGUUGUCAAUUAAAGUUUCAUCUGAAAUUGACAUCUUGUGAAAUGGUACAUCUCACGUAAGGCGUCAAAUAAUUAGUUUUGUCAAUUAGGUGCAACAUAUAAAUGCACAUGAAGGAAUGAAAUAUAUUUUCCUUUUAUACCCGGACAGAUAUUUGGCAGGAAUUUUAUAAUGCAUUUUUUAGGACAUUAUGGGAGUUAUCAUAUCACAUUGUUAGUUGCAUUGUGUAUUAUAUAGACUACUAAUCCUACUACGUAAAGACCAUAGGAAAAAAGUUGUUUAUGACAUAUUUAUGUGCCAUAACUAAACGUAGAUUCGACAAAAUGGGUCGACUGGUGGGUUCUAGUAAUUUAAUCUUCAACUGUCAAAUUAUGGUAUUGACUUGCAACAGGCUAGCUAUUCAGACCCCUAAAAGGUUUGUUGCAAAAGUUUAAUUUCUUUAACGUAUAUAUGUUACAGUAAAUUUGUAUAAUCAGGGAUUAUGUAGAAUCCUUGGUUUUUCAGGGAAUAUAAAGAAUCAGUAAAAUCAUUAGUAAUUACACAUAGUCCCUGAAAAUGACCAGUGAUUUUACAUGAUCACUGAACAUUUUAAUAAUUAUUCUACAAAUUCCCUUAUAUAAUUUCAGGGAUUAUGAAUAAUUUAAGGAUCCUUUGUUUAAUAAAAAUAAAAUAAAUAAUAAUAAUAAAGUUAGACAAAUUAUAAUUUUUUACUUUCCUACUCCUUGCCAGAUGAAAUAAUUUUGCUUUAAACACAAAGGAUGAUCUUAAAGAUAUAACCAACACAGGGUUUCGAAAUAAAAUGUUGAAGACUUCAAAAUUAAUACUUUAUAGUGAUAACUUUACAUGUAUUGUUUGUUUAUAUAAAACCAGCGUCAUAUGGAUAUUCAUGUUCUAUUUGUAAAUCCACAGAGCAUGCUAGUUGUGGAACAUGUAGAACAAAUGGUGAAGAAGAUUAUGAAACAUCUUUUUUUGUUUUUGUUUUGUUUUUUUGUUUUUGUUCAAAUGAACAAGAAAGUCAAACAAAGAGAACUUACUCAUCUAAAUGUAUAGAAAAAUUAAGGGUUGACUAUUAGAACUGUAGAGGAAGCUGGUAUUUGGUGUGAUAUUCUCAUAGCAAUUCCACAGGCUAAAAAGGAAAGGGAAUCCCAAAAAACAUAAUUAUAAUUGUUCACUGAAAGUCUGAAAAACGCUAUCGCAUUGCCGAAAAAUAACAUGGUAUCUUGCUCGAACCAGUUCAAGGUUACUACUUUCCUUUUUUGGGGGGUACCUACAGAUGUGUUUACUGAACACUUUAUUUCUCUUAGGCGGGUCAUAAAAUCUGAUUCGAUAUGUGAAGGAAAAUGUUUUCUAAAAUUUGGAUAUUGUGGUAAAACAGAUGUGAAGCAUAUUAUUUUAAUAUAUUGUGUUUAUCAUUUUAAGAUACUGUGCCUAAUAUUUAAAAAAAAAAAUAGGGUUAUCAUUUUGAUAUUUUGUGCUUAACUUUUUACAAUUUAUGUUUAUACAGUGUAAUGUUGUCUUUAUAAAUAAAAUAAAACUAUUUCUUCAUUCAGUUAUUAUGUAUAAUCGCUGAUGUUUUUCUAGUUAUUAUACAUAAUCCCUGAUAAUUUCAGUGAUUAUAUAUAAUCCCUAAACUGGCCUCACUGAUUAUACAAGUUCACUGUAACAUAUAUAUAUAUAUAGAGAGAGAGAGAGAGAGAGAGAGAGAGAGAGAGAGAGAGAGAGAGAGAGAGAGAGAGAGAGAGAGAGUUGAACUCUCCUACACAAGUCAUCGAUUUCAACCUUUAAAUACCAUUCAUAAUCCAAGCUCAGCAUAUCUAAUGACCAUUGUUAGAAUGAGUAUAUCUGUCGGAGAGGAGGAUCCCGCAGAUAUCAGUUUUAUAUACCACUAAAGCAUUGCGGUGACAAAACAAUGAAGAAAUAUCGGGAAAUCAUAAUUCUUCAAUUUUUACUUUUCGAACUAUUCUCGUUGUACAAAUUUAAGAAUUCUUUGUGUAUAUGAACUCACCAUAGAUACCAGAAUUGGAUUUUGUAUUUAUGCCAGACACGCGUUUGUUUCUUCUACAAAAGAGCCAUCAGUGACGCUUGAAUAUUAUUGGGCACUGAAAUAGCCUCAUAAUAGCUAGUAAAUAAAACAACGUACUAGAUUUUAGCGAGUGAAAUUUAUCUUUUACUGAAAAAUUAUUAUACCAGGGUUUUCGAUAUCACAAACUAGUCAAAACGUUCACUAAAUCUUAUCAUCGGUACAAGGAAAUAAUUCGUAAAUAUAAGUCAACAUGCAGACAUCUUAUACGUUCAGGUAUUUCACAUCCAAUCUUUUAUGGUAAUAUUGUUUACAAAGCACAAAAAUGUUAUUAUACGCCUCAAAAGCUAACAAAACCUUUAAACAAACUUAUUAAGAAAGGAUACAGUUACGAUACUGUUGUCGAGUCAUUAAAAGAUGCAUAUUUUGGCUUUAAUUGAUUCACUUAUAGGUCUUUGCAUUGGAAUUAACACAUUUUAUUCUAAAAACUAGUUGUUGGCAUACACGGGUUAUGUUUUAUAAAUUCAUGAUGGUAUAAAUACUAAACAUAACAGAGGUUGGCCUGAUAUUCAUAUGAUAUAAGACAUCAUCUCUCAAUUAUUUAAUUAAGGUCUGAGCUGGCAUGUUAGUAACUGCUAGUAGUGUUUUUAUUUAUGUAUUAUUGUCAUUUUGUUUAUUUUUCUUUAUUUCAUAUUCGACAUCGGACUCGGACUUCUCUUAACCUGAGUUUAACUGUGUGUAUUUUUGUGCAUUUGUUUUUUCUACAUUGUCCAGAAUUAUAGGGGGAGGGUUGAGAUCUCAAAAAACAUGUUUAACCCCGCUGCAAUUUUGCGCCUGUCCCAAGUCAGGAGCCUCUGGCCUCUGUAGUUCUGGUCUGAUUUUUAUUUUAGUUUCUUGUGUAUAUUCGGAGUUUAUGACGUCCAUUAUCACUGAACUAGUAUCAUAUUUGUUUAGGGGCCAAACUGAAGGACGCCUCCAGGUACGGGAGUUUCUUGCUACAUUGAAGACCCAUUGAUGGCCUUCGGCAGUUGUCUACUCUAAUGUUGGGUUGCUGUCGCUUUGACACAUUCCCCAUUUGCAUUCUCAAUUAUAUUAUAAACAUAAGUCACCCAGUUCAAUAAAUGAAAUAAAUAUUUUACACUCUAUUGCUUUCUAAUCUUAACAGCCAAUUAUAUAUAGUUGAAGGUUGUUAUUAUCUUUUAUUUUUUCCUCCGUGGGUUUUUCUUUGUGUCUCAUACAAAAAAAAAUGAACGAAUAUAAAUUUUAACAACAGUAAUUUAACGCAGUAUUGUAAAACUUAAUUGUAUAAUGGUAAGUAGAUGUCAAGUUAGAAUUUAUGGUUAUGGACCUAACUAACACGUUGGUAUCAAGUACUCUUAAAAAAUUUCUUAUGACACUUUGAUAUGUCGUGAAAUAAAACUACUGUAAAUUAAAAAUAAAAUAGGUGUAAUCACACAUUUUUUUUAUAGAAAUGAAUUAAUUAAAUUCACCAGGAAGACUAGUAAAGAUAUGAAAAUUGCAAACAAUCAUGGUAACAAUUCUGUUGCAGGAGAAGACAUUUUGUCAUUGAAAAUUGUUGCAUUGAUCUUCCGACGGAGGCCUUUUCAAUUUAAUUAUUUGUUUUUACGAUUAUGAGAUCUGCAUUUAUGCUGUGAACGAGAACUUACGCACUUCUCUUUUUAUGCCGUUUACAACCGAGAAAUAUUGUUUGGUGGAAUUGUGAAAUAGAAGUUAAUACGUCCUUGUUCCAUCGUUUGUCGUUAUCUGCCAUCCUCAGCUUUAGCAAUGUGCUAUUACUGUAAUUUGAAUUUCAAAACUACAGAGUGACUUUUUUCGACAUACUGAUUAACUCCCAGUAGCGAAUCGGUUCGACUUUAAUAUAAUCAAUAAUAUAUUCAACGUCAAUACGGGCGAAUAAUAUCUCUCUUUACGUCACAAAUUUUAGCAUUAAAUAUACGGCAAAUGGCAAAGUCAGCUAAAUCUAGCCUGGUUAAUCAUUUUACAGUCUUACUAAAAAAGUUAUUUCAAAUAUAAUACAUAAUAGUAUAAAACAGGGUUUGGUCCCUCUACUUUCCCUUUAUUCACAUGCACGAAGCCAUCUCUAUAAUAGCUGCUAGACCCAUGAUGGUAAAGCUAAGCGAUGUAUAUACAUUAUCAGUAAUAAUAUUUAAAUUGACAAUAUAAAAUUUUCAUAAAAUGUCAUUAGAGAUUGUGGCAGAAUACAAUUUAUUUAUUUUUUUCAUCUGUAAAUUGAUUCCUACGUAAUGAAAUCACUUAGAACACUUUUAAAUCAAAAACAAUUUGCUGUUAAAAACGCUGUAUUGUAUAUAAUACAGAAAGUUGAUAUUUUAGUAUUGGAUUGUUAUAAGAUUAAGAAAUAUGACAUAUGGUCAUGCUUUUCAACUGAUUUUUAGAUGUACCGAACAACCGAAAAAAAUAGAGUUGGAGAUAAAAAGUGUCUAUGCUGUGAACUUAAAAAAGAGACUACACAUGCAAGCACAAAUUGAGGAUGUUGAUAUGAACAGUGUUUUGUUAAUAUUGAUGAAUUUUUGGGAAUAUCUGGCACAGUUUAAUCUAUUAAAAGAACAAAGGCAAACUGAUUACUGACGACGAAAAACAUGGCACAUUGAAUGAAGAUUUACCGUGUUCAACUAUAUGCUCCCAUUCAAAUGCAUUGAUCGUCCAAAAUAAAGGGGGCGGGGGCUCUUGUGACGAUUUUAUGAUGUUAUUUACAGAGGAAAUCAUGAACUGUUAUACAGGCAAAAUUUUAAUGACAAGAAAAUGUACUUUUUAUUGUUAGAGUUUAUUUUGUAGAUUGUAUAUACAUUUUUAAGAUUGUCUCUCAUAACUCCUCUUAAAUGUUUUUGGCACAACUUUUUAGAAUUUUGGAUCCUCAAUGCUCUUCAAUUUUGUACUUGUUUGGCUUUAUAAAUAUUUUGAUAUGAGCGUCACUGAUGAGUCUUAUGGAGACGAAACGCGCGUCUGGCGUACUAAAUUAUAAUCCUGGUACCUUUGAUAACUAUUAUUAGAGUAAUGUUUUUACCUUUAUUAAUGUAAGCUAAACCAAUCAUUAUUUUUGUCAUGUUUUGUAUAAAUAAUUACUGCGAGUGUGUUUAAAUAAACGUAAUAAAUUCUAUCAGUUACACCCAAUUUUGCAAAGGAUAUUGAAGGACCAGGAAAAAGAAAAAAAAGAAAAAGAAAAAAUAUUUUGUUAAUAAUAAUUACGAGUCUGAACUGAGGUAAAUAAAUAGGCAGUUCAUUUACGGAUAUAAGAAACAAACUUGACAAAAGUCUUAAGAUGGCUUGUUUUGGUUUAUUUGCUGAUAUUUUAUUUGAAAAAAAUAACAUGAAAAUUAAUUGUACUUCUAUUUACUCUGAAGAAGGGAAACAGGGGAAAGAUAAGUCUAAGUAAAUCUCCGACUUGAAUCAUUCACAUAUAAAGCUUGCACUAUUCUGCCUGCGUCACGAUGUUCCUUCUACAUGAAUUUAGUAUACGAUAUUUUUAUCUUAUUGAUGUAUGUAUUCAACAAAAGUUCCUUUGAAAAAUGUCAAUUAGUAUUGCAUUAAUUUUACAUAAAUAUCCCUUUUUUGUACUUUACCUCCAAAUAAAUAAUGAAAAUAGCCAAGUUUGACAAAAGUUAAUGGGUUUCCCUUUCAUACGAAAACUGAACAUAAAUGUUUCCUAUUAUAUAUCAAUUUCAAACUCAUAUUGAUAUGUUCAAACAGUUUAUGUAAGUUUGUAUUGUUAAUGUAAGCACAUGAGUGUCUAGAUGGGUUCCUUUAUUUCUUUAUUCUUUAAUUUUCACAUCAUUUUCUUCAUCCUUUAUUGAUUUUGCCUAUUAUUGUCUAGUAUUUAUUAUUUAUGCCUAUUUUGUUUUUCUUCUUAAUUUUCCCCACUUUAUUCCGCACAUUUUGCGAAAUAUUAUAUGCCCCCGGUAUUCUUUCAAUAUAUAUAUAUAUAUACAUAUACUAGUACCAUCCUAAAUCUAUAAUUAAUUGAGAGUAACUGUUGUCUCCCAUGAGAAAAGAUGUGCGAUAUUAUUCGGACAAUUUUCUAGUGAUUUAAAAGCUUUCUGUCAAGAAUUUUGUCAAUAUAUUUAUUAAAUAAAGACUUAUUGUGUACAAACAAAAUAUUUUUACAUACUACGAUUAGAAACAACAUACAGUUUUUUGUAUUGACCGUCAAAAACAAUACUUCAAAGUGUUUAACAACGAGUAGCAGUGAUCUGUUUUAAACCACCCGUAUUAUUGCAGUGUGUCAAAAAUCGUACUCUUUCUACCGAAAUGACCAUUGAUCCAACGAACUUUAAACUGACAAAACAUUAAAGAUCUAUGAAUAAAUGCAUAAUGGCCUGCCCAAAGACUCUUUUGGUACCCGAUUACUUCCAUUUUGCGAUAAUGACGCAAUAGCUCUAGAACAACAGAAAACUUCUCUAAAACUAUUUUGUUGUUUCCGUGCUCACUUUCUGGCUGCGCGCCCACUGCAUGCGAUGUUUUUACGAGAAAAUGUGGAUAGAAGACUGCACGAAUGCAAUUUUUCCAUUUUUUCUAUAAAUUCUUUUUCCCAAAGAUAUGUGCAAAUUUAAAAUAAUUCCCAAUAACUUUUGAGAUCACUAAGUCCUUCGGAUAUUUUAUAUAGAUUUAAAGCCGGACUUAAGAAAAGUAUAUGCAAUAUAAACAUGUGUCAAGUCAAAAUUGGAUGAAAUGAAACUAUAAACUUGUACUUGUUUCCGUUUUAUGUUUAUAAUAUCAUAUUCCCCAGUAAAUUAAAUGCGAUUUGUAUUUCCCUUUUUUAAUAUUAUUUAUUACUUUUAAUUAGAAAUAUAGCAACCAUGCUUAACAAUUGUAAAAGCAAAAAAGAAGAUUCAUAUAUGUUAUUUUAUUUAAUUAAAAAUACACCAACCUAUCUUCAAAGUACAUUGUCAUAAAAAACAUUGUACAAAACAAAAUAUCACAUGUUUUCACAUAAAAAAUAAAUAAAAUAAAGUGAUAGAAAACAUACUUUAUACAUAUGGCAUUGGCAAUUAAGCAAGACAUCGGAAUCCACAGAUCAAUAAUGUCAUACACCCAAACAAACAAAACAAAAAAGUUAAUGUUUACACCUACCACAAUCGACUGUUUUACGAAAAUUUGUCUAUAAUUAUAAGAUUUACAAAUAUCUCGAAUAUCAGAUGCAUACAAUAAUAAAUAAUGCACCUAUAUUAAACUGGCUUUUGAAACCCACAGAAUUUUUUUUUUCCAUAUGGGCAGACAUUAUAAGUAAUAAAAAAACAUAAGUGCCUACAAAAUUGGAUUUUUUAUGUGUAAUUACCUUCUCUAAAAAAUUUAAUGUUCGAUUUUUGUGUAUGUGUGUGUGGGGGUCUCUAACAAAAGAUUCCAUUGUUGUUUAUUUAUUUAUUAUUUUUUUUUUUGGGGGGGGGGGGGUAAUUUCAAAUGGGAUUUCUGCCUAAGGAAUAUCGAAUGAAACUAAUAGCUUCGCACGGUGAAGGGAAGCAAUUAUAAAAUAAAUAAAUAAACAAAUAAGUCAUGCAUAAGAAGGAACAAUUAAAACAGCAGUCAAAUUAUUUUAUUGUAAAGAUUUAAAGAUUCAAAAAUCUUUAUUUAACCUCAGACAUGAUAAGUGUGCAAGAGGAUUGUAUGCAUAUGAAAUAUUUUUUUAUUGUUUGUUUCUUUGCGUUUUUGAUUAGGUUAGUUUAUUUUUGUUUGUUUGUUUGGUGUUUUGUUUGAUUUUUUGCUGGGCAUAGUUUGUUAUCAAAACUCUUAUUUCAAUUUUCAGGUGUAAUAAAGAAUCGGACACAAAAGGUUCGCAGUUUUAGGUCAAAUUUGAUAUUUUUUUUAUUCAAUUUUUUGCUGUUAUUUAAAACAUUUUGUUUUUAUCAGCUUUAAUCAUUUCCAGAAAUAAAUACGUUGAUGUAUUUUCGGAACAUGACAGAAAGCAUUUACGAACAAACUUCCUUUUCUAAAUUAUUUGAGUACUUACCUGACUAAGCUUAAUAACUAUAAAGACGAAUAGAUCAUUUCACCAUGAUUGCUACUUAUAAUUUCAUGGCCAUAUUAAGUAGAAGUAGUCAGGAUAACAGUGAUUCGCUUUUUUGAUAAAAGAAAUUUCAUUUGUUUUUUAAUUUGGAAGUUAACGAUCAAUCAUUUACUUGGCUAUCAUGUAAAGACACAUUUUCCUGUCAAUCCUUAUGUUUUUCUAAAUGUCUAGACUUAAAGAAAUAAGAAAAAACAAUAGUUACAAUGCAUAAUAUAUCUUUAUUUAUCCAUAAUAGUGAGAGAGAAAAAGAACGUCAUAAACUUAUUUGUCUUUUAGUUGAUUGCAACCGUCAUUAAAGAGCAUGUAACUAUAUGAUUUUUUUUGAUUUUUUUUCAUGAAAAAAAGAAGAAUGUAAUUAUAUGAAUUUCAACCGCAAACAAUAUCAACAUAUGUAAUUUGUUCACUGUCUUCUUUAUUACAUCAAACGGAAAGUCGAAAACAGGGAGUAAUGUAAUAUGCUCUUGAAUUAAAAGUAGUUACUUAAAUGAUUAAACAAUUUUUUUUAUUAAAAUGAAAGGAAUGGUGAUGUUUCUUUAAAAAAAAAUACGAAUGCUUGGUAUUGUGUUUUAACACUACACCUCUAACCAAUUAAAAUUAUAGACUGUGUGUGCAUUGAAUUACAAAUUAAAACAUGAAAUUGUAUAUACAUGUACAAUUGUGUUACAUCGUAUAUAUUAUAACUUAAUUAUAUAACAAUUUGACAAGAAAAGGUUUCUUAUAAAACAGUAAUUUAAUUGUGAUAUGUGUUAUAAUGAAAAAUAAAAUUUGAUACGAAUACACCUGUGCAAUAUGUAAAUUGAAACAUUCAUAUCAUAAUCAAGGUCAUACGAUACUUGAAACUUAUUAGUAAUUGAAAAAAAGGUAUUUUUUAUAUACUUAAACAUGUUUAAUGCGAAGUUUUACUAUAAAUAAAAAAAAAACGUGUACAUAGACUUUCCAAAUAUAUACAGCUCUGUCGAAUGACUUUUUUGUACUUUGGGGCCAAAACCCGAAAUUUAUUUUUCUAUCCAAACUACAGGAUGAAAUGUUUUUGUCGAUUAUACUGCAAGGGUUUAAGGGUUCGUAAUGAAUGUUGGGGUAGGGGACUUGCACAGAGGGACUUAGUUUAAUAUAUUCUGUAUGCAUGCAUUGGUUCAAUAAUUUCAUAGUUACGAUAUAUCUGUUUUAUGUGAGUUUAAAUACCAUUUUUUUAUUGUAAUUUUAUUACAGCGUAAAAGCGUUGACCGAUCACGUUCGGUAUGAACCGCGAAGCGUUAAAUUAUCAUAUGAUUACAUUUUUAUGUUAAAAAAUUUCUUGUCAUAGUGAGCACGUGCUUUGAUUUUAUAUUAUUAUUCAGAAGUAAAUAAUCGUAUUGGAAUGUCUCUCUGUCAGUCAAAAGUAUGGAAUUUUGUAAAACACCUUAAAGUAUAUACUAAAAGUACAUCUUUGAAAUACAGUAAUGAUACUUAAAACGAAUAAUCAAAAGUAAUUUGCGUAUCCUUUGUUACUUAUAUGUACGCAGGUGUCAAUUUUUAUCGAUCGCUUAAUAUUUUGUUUAUAUUUGUAUUUCAGAGAGCAUCAUGACACUAUGAUUUGUAAAAGUGUAAUUUAGACAUGAACACGUUUUAUUGGUUAAUACUGCUAUCAAUAUGUUUCCCUAAAG
rnacentral:lncRNA from 1 species